CUACGUGCCAGCAGCCGCGGUAAUACGUAGGGCGCGAGCGUUGUCCGGAAUUAUUGGGCGUAAAGGGCUUGUAGGCGGUUGGUCGCGUCUGCCGUGAAAUCCUCUGGCUUAACUGGGGGCGUGCGGUGGGUACGGGCUGACUUGAGUGCGGUAGGGGAGACUGGAACUCCUGGUGUAGCGGUGGAAUGCGCAGAUAUCAGGAAGAACACCGGUGGCGAAGGCGGGUCUCUGGGCCGUUACUGACGCUGAGGAGCGAAAGCGUGGGGAGCGAACAGGAUUAGAUACCCUGGUAGUCCACGCUGUAAACGUUGGGCACUAGGUGUGGGGGCCACCCGUGGUUUYUGCGCCGUAGCUAACGCUUUAAGUGCCCCGCCUGGGGAGUACGGCCGCAAGGCUAAAACUCAAAGGAAUUGACGGGGGCCCGCACAAGCGGCGGAGCAUGCGGAUUAAUUCGAUGCAACGCGAAGAACCUUACCAAGGCUUGACAUGC
rnacentral:rRNA from 1 species